GACGAACGCUGGCGGCGUGCUUAACACAUGCAAGUCGAACGGAAAGGCCCUGCUUGCCGGGUACUCGAGUGGCGAACGGGUGAGUAACACGUGGGUGAUCUGCCCUGCACUUCGGGAUAAGCCUGGGAAACUGGGUCUAAUACCGGAUAGGAGCCAUUUUUAGUGUGAUGGUUGGACAGUUUUUUCGGUGUAGGAUGAGCUCGCGGCCUAUCAGCUUGUUGGUGGGGUAAUGGCCUACCAAGGCGGCGACGGGUAGCCGGCCUGAGAGGGUGGACGGCCACAUUGGGACUGAGAUACGGCCCAGACUCCUACGGGAGGCAGCAGUGGGGAAUAUUGCACAAUGGGCGCAAGCCUGAUGCAGCGACGCCGCGUGGGGGAUGACGGCCUUCGGGUUGUAAACUCCUUUCGCUAGGGACGAAGCUUUUUGUGACGGUACCUAGAUAAGAAGCACCGGCUAACUACGUG
rnacentral:rRNA from 1 species